UACGAAGGGGGCUAGCGUUGCUCGGAAUCACUGGGCGUAAAGCGCACGUAGGCGGCUUUUUAAGUCAGGGGUGAAAUCCUGGAGCUCAACUCCAGAACUGCCUUUGAUACUGAAGAGCUUGAGUCCGGGAGAGGUGAGUGGAACUGCGAGUGUAGAGGUGAAAUUCGUAGAUAUUCGCAAGAACACCAGUGGCGAAAGGCGGCUCACUGGCCCGGUACUGACGCUGAGGUGCGAAAGCGUGGGGAGCAA
rnacentral:rRNA from 1 species